GUCUACAGCCAUACCACCCAAAUGCUCGCAAUCUGAUCUUAAAGUUAAGCAGGAUCAGGCCUGGUUAGUUCUUAUAUGGGAAAUUGCCUGGGAAUACUAUGUGCUAUUUUCC
ensembl:rRNA 5S_rRNA 5S ribosomal RNA